UUCUCGUCUCCCUCUUGUUAUGUUCCUUGCAAGAUUCUAGAACAAUCAAAAUUAUAGCAGUGAUUGGUAUCUCUACAUGUACAAUCUAUGAAGUUGCAAUCAGUUAAAAGAAUAAUUGUCAAAAUUGCAAUAAGGAAAACAAAAUUGAAUCACGUAAUUGGGGUUUCACCCUCCAAUGUUUUUAUGUACUUUGUUAUUUAUUCAAUUCAGUGAAUUCUCUGUAUUCUCUCUUCAUUUUGACUCCUGAAACAGUCUUAAGCCUGUUCCUUGCAAGAUAUAAAUAAAUUUCAUGAAAUUUAUCAACUAAUCACAUCUUUGUGGAAGGUACAGCCAAGGUAUACUAGCAUAUUAAGUAAUUAGAAGCAAUAACUAAGGAAGCUCCUACAAGAACUGGUUCAGAUUGCAAAGUCAGGAGUUAAUAGAAGCACUCCUAUAUGGUCUUUUUAUUACUGAUAAUCAAACAGAUGACAAAGGAAUUUGCAGUGCUUAAUUGGAGAAUGCUUGUACUGUGCUGGGUCUAAAUCUAUUGGUUUGAUCUAAAUAUCUCAUGGUUUUGGAUUAUGAUAUUUAAGAUAGUGUCAUAGGAAUUAAUGGAGCCUAUAGUGUGUGUGUGUGCUGCUUGCUUCAAUUGGUACCUCUGAUACUUUACAGUCUAUGGGAUUGUCAUUGGGGUCUUUCUAUCAAUACUUUUAGCUCUUGUACUAGUGUGCUUUGUUUCUUUCUGUCUUUUUUGUUUAUUUCCAUUCUGUUUAUUUCCACUUUGUUGUACCGAAUUUUUAGCUCACUUUGGAAGAGCAUGUUUCCAAAGAUUUUGACAACUAUCAAAACUCCUUGCAAGAUAGUGUGUAGGUUUUUUUUAUUUCAGUUCCUCACUCACUCAAUACUCAUUGUUCUUCUUCAAAUAGGAAGUAGCAGCAGGUUGGAUCAAUAUGCGGUCUUGGGAUUUAGCUUUUAUUUGGGAUGUCUUUGAGCAAUUUAAGUUACUGUUUUUCUCCUUGGAUGGCUCUUGAUCACUACAGAUUUGCCUCAGAGUACUAUAAGGGAUUUGUUCUAACUAGAAGCUUUGUUUUGUAGUAGUAUCUUGGAUAGUUAAGGCUAGCAGAUUCAGAAAUAGGUGUUUAUUUUGCUGCAUUCUGUUGCUUUUGUAUCUGUUCUGGUUCAUUUGGACCUUUCUUUUAUUUUCUCUUCUUGUAUGGUCAAAUUUUUUCUUCAUUCCAGUGGAAGCAGAUGAACAAAUGUUAGUGCGGAUGAACACGGAAAAGAAUGACCAAAGAUUAUGGUCAAAUUUUUUCUUCAUUCCAGUGGAAGCAUCGCGGCAAGGUUUCAAUAUGACCAGUAGUUGCUGCUUUUCGGAGAAUACCUAAAUCUUUUUGGAAUGUAAAGGAACGGAGUAGAGUCACCACAAUAGGAGGCAGAAGCAACCUCACGGGGUUAUAAAUCAGAGGUUGCAGCUUACAUGGCCGCCUCAACAAUGACUUCUGUGGUUGCAGCAGGUGAGAGGGAAAGACAUGAAACAGCAAAGGACCUACAAUCACUUCAUUCCUCACCUUAGUUCAGACUCAGUGGCAUCUUGGCAUGCAAAUCUCUUCUUUGAACCCACCAAAUUUGAAGUAAGGACAAUUGUUCACUUAUAGAGACAAUACAGUCUCAUUCAUUUGUUCUUGAAUGUGGCAGCCUCUGCUGCAGAGUACCAAGGAAAAGCUCUCACAGUUUGCCAUGUUCCAAGUGAAAAUGAUCACCAUUCAAUUCUACAGCAGCGUAACUUACUCAACAAUGGACAACGAUGGCAGAGUCCUAUGAUAAUCUUAAUGAAUCCGUGAGGAUUGCAAUGGUGGGAAAAUAUGUUGGUUUAACUGAUUCAUAUGUAUCUGUUGUAAAGUCAUCUGAGUUAUGAAUGCAGUGACUGCGGUUGAAGCUUUUUUUUGGGGAAGCCCUUACUUGGUACUCUACUAGAUGCAUAUAGAAGUGGCUUUUUGGCCAGGACUUUCCAUGAUAUUGGCCCUAGAGUAGUUUUUAUAGCUCACUUGAGAGAGUAUGUUCUCAAGAACAAUUAGUUAUCAAUAUUAUUAGUAUUUUUUUGGACAAAUUAGUGAAGUGGGUUCAGUAUUGUUAUUCUUUUGGCUGGAAUAUUUGAAUGUAGGUUCUCUUGGCUGGAAUAUGUGAGUGUUGUUGUUCUCAA